rnacentral:rRNA from 1 species
UACGAAGGGUGCAAGCGUUAAUCGGAAUUACUGGGCGUAAAGCGUGCGCAGGCGGUUUCGUAAGACAGACGUGAAAUCCCCGGGCUCAACCUGGGAACUGCGUUUGUGACUGUAUAGCUGGAGUGCGGCAGAGGGGGGUAGAAUUCCACGUGUAGCAGUGAAAUGCGUAGAUAUGCGGAGGAACACCGAUGGCGAAGGCAAUCCCCUGGGCCUGCACUGACGCUCAUGCACGAAAGCGUGGGGAGCAAACAGG